rnacentral:rRNA from 1 species
CCUACGGGCGGCAGCAAUUAGGAAUCUUGCGCAAUGGGCGAAAGCCUGACGCAGCGACGCCGCGUGACUGAUGAAGUCUUUCGGGAUGUAAAGGUCUUUUGUGGGGGACGAAGGAAGUGACGGUACCCCACGAAUAAGCUCCGGCUAACUACGUGCCAGCAGCCGCGGUAAUACGUAGGGAGCGAGCGUUGUCCGAAUUCACUGGGCGUAAAGCGCGCGUAGGCGGGCUAUUAAGUUGGGGGUGAAAUUCCGAGGCUUAACCUCGGAACUGCCUUCAAAACUGGUAGCCUUGAGGUAUGGAGAGGGAAGUGGAAUUCCAGGUGUAGCGGUGAAAUGCGUAGAUAUCUGGAGGAACACCCGUGGCGAAGGCGGCUUCCUGGUCAUAUCCUGACGCUGAGGUGCGAAAGCUAGGGGAGCGAACG